GACGAACCGUGCGAACGUUGUUCGGAAUCACUGGGCUUAAAGGGCGCGUAGGCGGUCUGUCAAGUCGGGAGUGAAAUCUUUCGGCUCAACCGGAAAACUGCUUUCGAUACUGACAGGCUGGAGGGAGGUAGGGGUUGCGGGAACUACCAGUGGAGCGGUGAAAUGCGUUGAUAUUGGUAGGAACGCCGGUGGCGAAAGCGCGCAACUGGACCUCUUCUGACGCUGAGGCGCGAAAGCUAGGGGAGCAAACGGG
rnacentral:rRNA from 1 species